GCACGCCCCCUCCCAGGGGAAGAGAAAGUGAGGGAAAAAGGAAAGUGCACAGUCCAGAUCCUGGUAUUUAAUAAAUUUCAGUAAGCGUGAGCAGGUCUCAUCGUUGAGGAAAUGUAAUGUGAUGCGCUGCCUGUAUCUCAAGCCCGAAAUUCGGGACUGCAAAAUACAAAAUUCGUUGGCCAAUGUGACGAGGAGGAGGUGCCCGUCCUCAAAAAACCCGGCAGUGGUGUAGAAGGCUUACCACUUGAUUUCAGCGAUGGGAAGAACAGAUUGACUCUUUACAGCAUUGUAUAAAAAUUUAAAAUCACCCUAACCUUUGACCAAGAAUUCCCACCCCUAAAAAUUUCCAGAUAUUCACUCUGCUCAGAUCCAUUUGUGCAAAUAUGUAGCACUUUGCAGAACUACUUGUCAGAGGAAAACAAUAGCUUGUAUUGGGGGAAAAAGAUUGUAUUGGGGGGAAAAAGAUAGAUACCAAAUGAGAUGAUCUCCAAAAUAGCAUUAAUUGGAAAAACAAGUAUGGACACUUUCAACAAAAAAGGAAAAAGGCUUGUACACUACUGAACCCAUCGAACCCACUGGAGAGUCCACAGAAAGGCUGGGGAAAUUCCUUGACAAACCGAAAGAUGGAGCAGUAAAAUAAGCAAGACGAGGACAUCCAGCCAAGGGAGUAAAUGAGGCUAGAAGCAUCCUACGCCCUCCUCACUAAGGCUUGUGUCAUGUUACAGAGUUGCUUGUGUCCCAAGGAGAAGACUUUUUUUUUUUUUUUUUUC